GCCACCGAAAGGUGGUCUAAUACUUCAUAAUAUCCAUCUCGUAUGGAUUAAAGCUUUAUGCGCUUUGGGAGGGGCCUGCGUAACAUUAGCUUGUUGGUGAGGUAAAGCUCACCAAGGCUUCGAUGUUUAAAACUGGUUUGAGAGGAUGACCAGUCACACUGGGACUGAGAUACGGCCCAGACUCCUACGGGAGGCAGCAGUAAGGAAUCUUCCACAAUGGGGCAACCCUGAUGGAGCAAUACCGCGUGCAGGAUGAAGCGUUUCGGCGUGUAAACUGCUUUUAUCACCGAAGAUUAUGACUGUAGGUGAAGAAUAAGGACCGGCUAACUACGUG
rnacentral:rRNA from 1 species